UACGGAGGGUGCAAGCGUUGUUCGGAAUUAUUGGGCGUAAAGCGCGUGUAGGCGGUUUGUUAAGUCUGGUGUGAAAGCCCGGGGCUCAACCCCGGAAGUGCACUGGAUACUGGCAGACUAGAGUGCGAGAGAGGAAGGUAGAAUUCCUGGUGUAGGGGUGAAAUCCGUAGAUACCAGGAGGAAUAUCGGAGGCGAAGGCGGCCUUCUGGCUCGUGGCUGACGAUGAGACGCGAAAGAGUGGGGAGCAAACAGG
rnacentral:rRNA from 1 species